AUCGAUGAAGAACGCAGCGAAAUGCGAUAAGUAAUGUGAAUUGCAGAUUUUCAGUGAAUCAUCGAAUCUUUGAACGCACCUUGCGCCCCUUGGUAUUCCGAGGGGCAUGCCUGUUUGAGUGUCAUUAAAUUCUCAACUCUGAUUUGAUUUGUUUCUAAUCGGAGCUUGGACUUGGAGCGUGCUGGCAUCUAGUCGGCUCCUCUCAAAUGCAUCAGCGGAAUCUAACCUUUGGUUUCCGGACGUCGGUGUGAUAAUAAAGUUGCGCCGUCAUUCGACUUCAAAGUCCGCUUAUAAUGGUCUUCGGACGAACUCUUAUAUCAAAUUUGACCUCAAAUCAGGUAGGACUACCCGCUGAACUUAAGCAUAUCAAUAAGCGGAGGAAAAGAAACUAACAAGGAUUCCCCUAGUAACUGCGAGUGAAGCGGGAAAAGCUCAAAUUUAAAAUCUGGCGGUCUCCGGCCGUCCGAGUUGUAAUCUGGAGAAGCGUUUAUCCGCGCCGGACCGUGUACAAGUCUUCUGGAAGGGAGCGUCGUAGAGGGUGAGAAUCCCGUCUUUGACACGGACUACCGAUGCUUUUGUGAUGCGCUCUCGAAGAGUCGAGUUGUUUGGGAAUGCAGCUCAAAAUGGGUGGUAAAUUCCAUCUAAAGCUAAAUAUUGGCGAGAGACCGAUAGCGAACAAGUACCGUGAGGGAAAGAUGAAAAGCACUUUGGAAAGAGAGUUAAACAGUACGUGAAAUUGUUGAAAGGGAAACGUUUGAAGUCAGUCGCGUCGACCGAGACUCAACCCGGCUUUUGCUUGGUGCACUUCUCGGCCGACGGGUCAGCAUCAAUUUUGACCGCCGGAGAAAGGUAGGGGGAACGUGGCAUCUUUCGAGAUGUGUUAUAGCCCCGUAUUCGUAUACGGCGAUUGGGAUUGAGGAACUCAGCGUGCCUUUAUGGUCGGGGUAUCAACCCACGUAACACGCUUAGGAUGCUGGCAUAAUGGCUUUAAGCGACCCGUCUUGAAACACGG
rnacentral:rRNA from 1 species